rnacentral:rRNA from 1 species
GAAUUUGGGAAAAUGGGGGAAACCCUGAUCGAGCCAUCCCGCGUGUAUGAUGAAGGCCUUCGGGUUGCAAACUACUUUUGGCAGAGAAGAAAAGGUAUCGCCUAAUACGGGAUACUGCUGACGGUAUCUGCAGAAUAAGCACCGGCAACCUACGGGCCAGCACCCGCGGUAAUACGUAGGGUGAAAGCGUUAAUCGGAAUUACGGGGCGUAAAGCGUGUGUAGGCGGUUCGGAAAGAAAGAUGUGAGAUCCCAGGGCUCAACCUUGGAACUGCAUUUUUAACUGCCGAGCUAGAGUAUGUCAGAGGGGGGUAGAAUUCCACGUGUAGCGGUGAAAUGCGUAGAUAUGUGGAGGAGUACCGAUGGCGAAGGGAGCCCCCUGGGAUAAUACUGACGCUCAGACACGAAAGCGUGGGGAGCAAACAGG